rnacentral:misc_RNA from 1 species
GAUGAAGAACGUAGCGAAAUGCGAUAAGUAAUGUGAAUUGCAGAAUUCAGUGAAUCAUCGAGUCUUUGAACGCACAUUGUGCCCCCUGGUAUUCCGGGGGGCAUGCCUGUCCGAGCGUCAUUGCUGCCCUCAAGCACGGCUUGUGUGUUGGGCCCCCGUCCCCGGUUUCCCCCGGGGACGGGCCCGAAAGGCAGCGGCGGCACCGCGUCCGGUCCUCGAGCGUAUGGGGCUUUGUCACCCGCUCUGUAGGCCCGGCCGGCGCCAGCCGACACCCAACUUUAUUUCUAAGGUUGACCUCGGAUCAGGUAGGGAUACCCGCUGAACUUAAGCAUAUCAAUAAGCGGAGGA